ACCCGAACACUACUUGAUCUUAUCCGAGCGAGCCGUCCGGCGGCGCCGCGGCGGCCGGAGUCGUCUCUUCCAUCGGCCGCGCCGCCACCGCGGUCCCCCAAGCGCUUGCGGGAAGGUGGCGCGCGACGUUUGGACUGAAAAGACGCGGCAUCCGCGGCAGCAGCCGGCGACGAGCGAUGACGACUGCCUGCGGUCGGAGCGCUCGCGAUGAUGGCCGCGCGGGCUCACCCAACAUACAAAACAAUCUCCAUUGCUUCCUUGCUUUCAACAGAGUUUCUCUUUCUUUUGAUCUCGGAAAGUGCAAUCCUUUUCUUGUUGGAGUGCAUAAAGUAUGCUUCUUUCUUGGAAGUUGAGCCUUCGGUUGCUGUCAUCGAAGCGGGAAGGUGGUGGUUUUCAUGCCCGAAGACGGAUGCCCGACGACUAUAGCUUUGUAAUACGGAUUUCGUUAGGAGAUGCGGGCUGUUGCUGUUCUUUCUUGGAUUCGUUGAUGAGUGUCAUCCAGAUUCAGUCUGUUAGUAGAGGAUUCUGGUGUAAUACUGUUAAUUGUAUUUGUAUAUCAGUCAAGGUUUAGGGUCAACUUACGAGUUGACAAGUCGUUUUGAGGUUCAGACUCGAAUUCUAAUCGUGACUAAUCAAACACUAGUCGACAUUAAAUUGUAGUCAGUCGGCCCUAGAGUUAGUACUCAUGGACUGUCUUAACUUAUAAUCCAUGGUCUCGGUGCUCCGUGAGAUGCCGUUGUGAUAUGAUCUGUGAGGUGGCUGUAUACUUAAAUCUCAGCUUAACAUUGUCAAAUACAGUAUGUAAUGUUAAUUAUCUGUUCAUUUA